AGGCUCUCUAUAUUUGAAUGCGCGACUCUAAGUGCAUCAAUGGUAGAAACAAGCUGAUCAAUUUUUUCAUCAUUGAGCUUUUUAACAGAUUCUGGAACUUUAUCAUAUGAUGAAGAUGACUUUUUUUUAUUGUAUGAUUCAAGGGAUUUAACAUUUGAAUCAAUUUGUUUUUCUAUUUUUUUAAGCGCUAUAGAUAAGUCCACAAACUCUGGAGGCUUCAAAUAAUAAACAGUCUUUUCAUCUACAAUGUCUAGCAAACAAUUUUUUUUUAAUUCAUCAAUCUCAUCUAUACUUGGAUUAAGAAGCACCAUUGUUCCACCUAUUUGCGAUAGCUUUGUAACGAAUGCGGCUGCAACGUUUGAAAUGAGAUCUAUGUAUUCGAGAUCUGUUCCAUUGUAAACUACAUGAACUUUAAUAUUUAUUUUGUCUUUGUUUGAUAUUCCUAGUAUAGCUGUUAAUGAGCGUAUCUUUGUAACAAUAUUCAUCAUUUUUUUAAAUUCGUGAUCUCUGGAGGAUAUAAGUCCAUUGUGAACGAAAAUUUGUGGGAAUUCAGAUGUUGAUAUUGAACUAAUUAUGGAAGAUCGUGUUACUUGUUUAAAUCUUUGAUAUAGUUCUUCUGUAACAAAUGGAGUUAAGGGGUGUAAAAGCACUAAUCCGUACUCAAUACAAAUAGAUAAAACUUGUGCUGCUGUGUAUGCAUAUCGAAAUGACGAUUCAAUAUUUUUAAACCUACUCUUAAUGAGUUCAAGAUAUACAUCACAGAGCUCAUAAAGCCAAAAAUUGUAAGUUGCUGUUACAACAUCUGAGAACAAGAAAUUAUCGAAUGACUCCUUAACACAAUUAAUGCAGACCAUCAAUCGAUAAAGAAUAUAAUAAUCUUCCCACAAUAAGUCUUCACUAUGGUUUGAGAAUAGUUCGUUAAUCGUUAUCGCUUCGAAGUUUUGUUUCAUAUGAUUUGCAACGUUUUCAAUGUUACCAAAUGCAAAUUUACAAGCAUUCCAUAGUUUAUUGCAAAAAUGUCUAUAUGCAACUACACGUUUUGUAUCUAGGUUAAUGUUCCUUCCUUGCUUUGUGUAAGCUAGUAGACCAAUUCUAAGCGCAUCUGCACCACAUUCAGGAAUUCCAUCAGGGAAGUCUUUAAGGUUAUUCUCCUUUGAUUUUUUUAUUUCUUGAAGAGGGAGAUUUCCUUGAUCAAGCUUUUUAUUUAAAUCAUCAAGAGAAAUACCUUCGAUGAUCUCAAUUGGAUCAAUUACAUUUCCAAGUGAUUUUGACAUCUUUCUUCCUUGUGAAUCGCGUACCAUUGCAUGUAAAUAAAUAGUUUUGAAAGGUAAUUUAUCAGUACAAGCAAAACUCAACAUGACCAUUCGCGCAACCCAAAAGAAUAAUAUAUCUGAUCCAGUUUCUAAAAGAGUUGUUGGAAAAAAUGUGGAAAGAUCAUUCAGUUUAGUUUUUUGGUUAACUUCAUCUGGCCACCCAAGAGGGGAAAAUGGUAUUAAACCAGAUGAAAACCAUGUAUCAAGAACAUCGCUAUCUCUCUCAACAUGAAAGUCACAUUCACUUAAACCAUAUUUUUGAAUUGCUUCUUUAAUCGCUGUCUCCUCAUCUUUGGCAGCGACCCAAAUUUCUUCUGUUGAAUUUAAUUUACUUGAAAUAAUCUUGUAUGCAGGUAUUCUGUGCCCCCACCAAAGUUGCCUAGAAAUACACCAAUCUUGUAUAUUUUCCAGCCAAUAAAACCAUGUUUGUUCAUGAAAUUUGGGCUCGAUUUGGAGUUCAUGAUUCUUCACAGCUUUGCAUGCCUUUUCAGCAAAUGGUUUGCAGUUCAUCCACCAUUGGGGAAUAAGGAAUAAUUCAACUAUAUCAUUUGACCUUGAGCAAAUCGGAAUCUGCAUUGCUUUUGAAUUAGGAGUUUUUUCAACUAGUAGUUUAAUUUUUUCUAAUUCUUUUUCAACCAAUUCUCUGCAUUUGAAACGGUGUAUUCCAGAAAAAAUUCCGAAACCAGGGCCAAUAUUUCCGUCAUUAGUGAAUACUGAAAUGAACUUGAGUUUUUCAAAUAAUGGCUCGCUUUUAUGCUUUUCAUUAUAUCUAGAUGCAAUUUCAAAAUCGUUUUUAUCGUGGGCAGGGGUAAUCUUUACACAACCAGUUCCAAAUUCUGGAUCUACGUGUUCAUCUGCAAUGAUAAUAAUCUUACGAUCCUUGAUAAAUGGAUGUAAGCAAUAUUUCCCUAUUAGAGAUUUAUAUCUAUUGUCUUUUGGGUUUACUGCAAUGGCGACAUCCCCCAACAUAGUCUCAAUUCUGGUUGUAGCAACUGUUAUUUUUUCAAUAUUAGUAAUGUUUUCUGGCAUGAAGUGCCAUUCAUGUGUUUGGCCAUGCUGUUCUAAUGGAUAAGAAAAAUGCCAUAGAACUCCAACUUCGACAGUUUUUUCAUAACCUGGAAUCCUAAUUCUUGAAGGCUUGUUAACUUCUAAUAGAUCAACCUCUAUAUCUGAUAAGGCUGUGCGGAGAUAUGAACACCAAGAUACAAGUCUAGUUUUUCUAAAAAUAUACCCUUGAUUAAACAAUUGAAUAAACGCAUUAUUCACUGCUUUAGACAUGUUUUCAUCCAAGGUAAAAAAUUCUCUUGACCAAUCCAGCGAGCAUCCAAGUCUACGAAAUUGAGAACAGAUAGCAGAUCCAUGUUUUUCUUUCCACUCCCAAACUUUUUUAAGAAAAUUGUCUCUUCCUAAAUCAUGUCUAGUGACGUUAUCUGUUUGAUGAAUAAUUCUCUCUACGACAGUUUGAGUUGCUAUGCCGGCAUGAUCUGUGCCUGGAAUCCAAAGCACUUCUUUGCCUAUUAAUCUAUUAUAACGGCAUAAACUAUCUUGAAUUGCUGCAGUAAGUGUAUGACCCAAAUGAAGCCUUCCCGUAACAUUAGGGGGAGGAAGGGCAAUAACAAAUUUAUUUUCAAAAGGUAGAUUGCUUGCCCUUUCAAAAUUUGGGAGAUAUAUUUUUGAUUCACACCAAAUAGCGUCCCAAUGCGACUCCACUUCUGAUGGAUUAUAAGAUAGUGGCAUUUCGUGUUUUAAACUUGGUUUGUCUUUCAAGAAGUCAGCAAACAACUUAAAUUUAUCAGUUGCCAUUGCUAUAAAAAAGAAAUAAUAAAAAUGGAAUCAGUGUAUGUGUUAGAAAUCGAAUAAAUAGUUUAUUGC
rnacentral:antisense_RNA from 1 species